UACAGAGGGUGCGAGCGUUAAUCGGAAUUACUGGGCGUAAAGCGCACGUAGGCGGCUUGGUAUGUCGGGUGUGAAAUCCCCGGGCUCAACCUAGGAACUGCAUCCGAAACUGCCUUGCUAGAGUAUGGGAGAGGGAAGUGGAAUUUCCGGUGUAGCGGUGAAAUGCGUAGAUAUCGGAAGGAACAUCAGUGGCGAAGGCGACUUCCUGGACCAAUACUGACGCUCAGGUGCGAAAGCGUGGGGAGCAAACAGG
rnacentral:rRNA from 1 species